rnacentral:misc_RNA from 1 species
GACACUGCUUCAGCUUCCCCAUCUAUCGUCCUCCGUCCCUAAAGACCAAAGGUUGUAUCGCAAUGCAAGUGCACUCGAUCCCUUUUCGCGUCACAAGGCUUCAUGGCAAGAGCUUGCCGGCGUUCUGGUAUUCUCAGCGAUUCCUUUCACCGCUGUCAAAGCUAUCGCCAACAGUACCUUCGGUGAAACACUCCGUAAACGAUUAGAAGAGAGAAAGAAGGUUGCAGUAGAGAAUUCAGCUAAGUUCAAAGCACUUGCACUAAUGGCAAGAAACGAUAGUAUCUGGUAUGGAGAAGAUCGCCCCCGCUGGCUUGGUCCAAUUUCUUAUGACUAUCCUGCUUAUCUUAAUGGGGAGCUACCCGGGGACUAUGGAUUUGAUAUCUGCGGGUUGAGCAAGGAUCCCGUGGCCCUUCAAAACUACUUUAAUUAUGAAAUAUUGCAUGGUCGUUGGGCUAUGCUGGCUGCUCUUGGUGCUUUGAUUCCAGAACUUUUAAACCUGACAGGACUUUUCCAGUUUGUGGAACCUGUUUGGUGGCGAGUGGGCUACUCAAAGCUUAAGGGAGAUACACUUGACUAUUUAGGGAUCCCUGGACUCCAUUUAGCUGGAAGUCAAGGAGUCAUUGUCAUAGCCAUUUGCCAAGCCCUUUUGAUGGUUGGACCAGAAUAUGCAAGGUAUUGUGGAAUUGAGGCUUUGGAACCGUUAGGAAUUUACUUGCCUGGUGACAUCAACUAUCCUGGAGGUGUUCUUUUUGAUCCAUUGAAUCUCUCUAAAGAUCCGAUGGCUUUUGAAGAGCUAAAGGUUAAAGAAAUAAAAAAUGGGCGCCUUGCUAUGGUUGCCUGGUUAGGCUUUUAUGUCCAAGCCGCUCUUACGGGUAAAGGCCCUGUGCAAAACCUUCUGGAGCAUAUCUCAGAUCCAUUCCACAAUAACUUGCUCUCCAUUCUAAAGUCUCUGUAAGAGAAUUCACUUAUCCAAAGUUGACAAUGGGGUUUAAGCCUCCCAGGUAUAAUUGUUCUGUCUUCUUUAUAUUUAAGGCUGUAAUAUGUGAACUCAUAAUUCAUCUGAAAAUAGUGUCAUACCUAGAAAAGGUGAAGACAUGUUGUGCCCAGAAGAGUAUUUGAGGUUGUCCAUACCAAUGAACCUUAUAUGGUCUUGUUUAUAAUGGGAUGUUAAAUGACUAUUGUUAUUGUUUAAACUUCUGUUUAUGAUGGGAUG